UGGGAAGAAGGAAGGCUGGCCAUGGGUUUCUACGCGCAGUGUCUGGAAUUGCAGUUACAUGUGGACGGAUAAGAGGACCACCCCCCCAGCUCCUCAGGGCUCAAGGAUAUUUCCAGGUGUGACGCUCACCACAGUCGCACCAUGAGUAACUCCGAUGUCUCUCACCAAAAUCUGAAACUAUUGGACUUUUGAUCAUUAUUCUGCAGACGAGGGAACUGAAGUUCGGAAGAAGGGCUUCCCUGGUGGUCUAGUGGUUAAGAGUCUGCCUGCCAAUGCAGGGGACAUGAGUUCGAUCCCUAGUCACAGAAGAUCCAACGUGCUGUGGAGCGACUAAGCCCAAGCGCCACAACUAUGGAGCCCACACGCCUGGAGCCCAUGCUUUGUAACAAGAGAAGCCGCCUCCGUGAGAAGCCCGCACGCCACAACGAACAGUAGCCCCGCUCACCAUAGCUAGAGAAAGCUGGAGUGCAGCAACCAAGACCCAGUGC